rnacentral:rRNA from 1 species
AAUGGCGGGUGCUUACCAUGCAAGUCGAACGGUGAAGCCCUUCGGGGUGGAUCAGUGGCGAACGGGUGAGUAACACGUGGGUAACCUGCCCUGAACUCUGGGAUAACUCCGGGAAACCGGGGCUAAUACCGGAUAUGAGCUGGAGCGGCAUCGCUCCGGCUGGAAAGUUUUUCGGUUCAGGAUGGACCCGCGGCCUAUCAGCUUGUUGGUGGGGUAAUGGCCUACCAAGGCUUUGACGGGUAGCCGGCCUGAGAGGGCGACCGGCCACACUGGGACUGAGACACGGCCCAGACUCCUACGGGAGGCAGCAGUGGGGAAUAUUGCACAAUGGGCGAAAGCCUGAUGCAGCGACGCCGCGUGAGGGAUGACGGCCUUCGGGUUGUAAACCUCUUUCAGCAGGGACGAAGCGCAAGUGACUGUACCUGCAGAAGAAGCACCGGCUAACUACGUGCCAGCAGCCGCGGUAAUACGUAGGGUGCGAGCGUUGUCCGGAUUUAUUGGGCGUAAAGAGCUUGUAGGCGGCUCGUCACGUCGGGUGUGAAAACUCGCGGCUCAACCGCGAGCCUGCACCCGAUACGGGCGGGCUAGAGUUCGGCAGGGGAGACUGGAAUUCCUGGUGUAGCGGUGGAAUGCGCAGAUAUCAGGAGGAACACCGGUGGCGAAGGCGGGUCUCUGGGCCGAUACUGACGCUGAGAAGCGAAAGCGUGGGGAGCGAACAGGAUUAGAUACCCUGGUAGUCCACGCCGUAAACGUUGGGAACUAGGUGUG